rnacentral:rRNA from 12 species
AUGUGCAGCCACAAUAUCCUGUGAGCGCCUGAUCCCGUCAGAUCUCGGAAACUAAGCAAGGCUGGGCUUCAUUAGUACUUGGAUGGGAGACCACCUUGGAAGACCACAGGCCACUAGACUCA